CCAAUUCGAUCUGAUCCCGCUAGCUGACACCUAACAUGUGAAGGGAUAGAUUUUGCUGUGACGUCAUCCACCCAAUUCAAGCCUGAGAUGGCCAACAUCAUGAAGGAUUUCGAUGAGCGGGGGCACCGUACCUUGCCUCGACCGGCCUGUUCCUGGGAGCCACCAAGUACACUGUCAUCCAAGGCAAGCUUGGUGCUGUUAUUCGUGGCAAGAAGGUAUUUAACUGCCCAUCGAACGUCGCAACGCGACUGCUCCAUCCUCUUUGAUCCGAUUCAUUCCCAACUGUUGCUGCCUUUGUUGUUCCCAGGGAUCCGGUCUGUGAGGCCAAUAGUAUCCUUUAUUUAUAUUUUUCAUGUGAGAUCCUAAAUGAAAAUUCACUACUGGAUUUGACUUUGCUGGUUUCACAAACCUAUACGUUUUGAGACAGUCAUGCCAAGGUUUCAUUAUCAGUUCCGUACCCGGCAUAAUACAUAUGUUUACUUUGUUUUUUUGCUGUAUGCAGAUGAAAAUUCUACAUAUU
rnacentral:lncRNA from 1 species